rnacentral:lncRNA from 1 species
UGCGCAUGCGCGUGGCGGGGCUCCAGUUUCAUGCCCAGGGAGGCGGCGAGGCGCACACUGCGCAUGCGCGUGGCGGCAGCUUCACAGAACAUGACAGUUGCUCGCGCUCGGUUUCCGUCAAUCGGACGAAUAACGUGUUAGGGCGUGGUUUGUGUCAUUCCUCAGUGUUUUGUUGGGGUAUCGACCAUUUCCGGGAUUUUUGUUCCUUGCUCGGGCCUGUAUCCUCACGGCGAAGCCUUUUCAUCUCGGUUGUGGAAAUCCUGCACAUCCCCCAAAUACUGGUGACUUCAGACCCCAAGGACUGCCACAAUGUCCUCCAUGUCCAGGCAACCAGGGAUACCCAGUGCCACCUGGAACCAUCCCAGGUUAUCCAAUGCCUGGUCAACCCAUGUGUUUUCCUACACAGCCAGGGUUCCCAAAUCCCAACAUGCCCUACCCUGGUCACCCCGGUCACCCCGGUCACUCUGGUCACCCCCACCAACAUGCUGAAAAAGGGCAUUGUGGUAAAUCAGGAGAUCAUCAUCAUGGCCAUCACAAGAAAGACAAGAAAAAGAAGGACAAGAAGGACAAGAAAGACAAGAAGAAGGAGGGCCACAAAAAGGGCCACAAGAAAAGCAAGAGCUCGAGCUCAUCCUCUUCGUCGUCCUCUUCAAGCAGCUCAGAUUGAUCACUGCGGAUGGAAAGCUCUCUGUGCAAACACUUCGUACUGUGUUUAUAAAAGCUUUUUAAUUAGUGCCUUGCAAUAAAUAAUAUAUUGGGUUUACACGUUUAUCUGUGCCAACUUUAUGGCUUUGGAUGGAGUUUUGUUCUGAAUGGGGAUCAAUUUACUUUUAUUUCUUUUUUGGUGGGGGGGGGGGGGUUGAUUUGAAAUUUAUGGACAUGCUUGCUGAUAUUCCUCAUGAUUGUAUUUCCUAAACACAAAAUAAAACGAUGAAAAUGUACAAUUGCAAGAAAAUUUUGUAUUUCUCGGAAAGCACAAUCUUCUCGUAGGAUUCUCAUGAUUGCAGUAUUUCCGACUACCUGCUAAACCUACAGAGGGCAUUUGAUCAGCUGCACGGUCUCACCCUCAGCCGAUUAUGCUACCCUGCAGCCUUGUGCUGCAUACAAAUGAAGAAGAAGAAAAAGAAUAAUAAUAAUAAUAAUAACAAGAAGAAGAUCUACAUCAAGUUAAAGCCGCAUAAUUUGGGUGCUGUGAUUUUAAACAACGCCUUACUCCAUCCUUUCUCCUGAUCUAUAUUUCUUGAUACAGGACCUGCUUUGGAAAGUUGAUGAAGCUGUUUGUUCAUCAUUGCUGAAUGAAUGUCACCCUUGCAUUCCACAGCUUGCCUGCUGGGUCACGUCCUUGUGUGAGAGAGGCAGGAUUCGAAUUCACCUUUUUAUUUUUACAGUUGAUGGUGUUGUAUGAAAUUUAGUCUUUUUGAUGCAGGAAUUGAUCGUUUAAAUGCAAUUCAACAUGGAUAACACUUAAAAACUGAUACCUAUAGAGAAAAGUACAAUUUCUUCUUGUACUUUGGAAAUGAUAUUCUUGUUCCAAACUUUAUCCCUGCCUCGUAAGAGGUGACCAGGGUUGCGUCAGGAAGGGCAUCCGGCGUAAAACAUGUGCCAAAUCACUAUGCGGAUCAUACAGAUGAUCCGCUGUGGCGACCCCUAACGGGAGCAGCCGAAAGAAGAAGAAGAUUCUUGUUCCAAACUUACAAAUGCUGACAUUUAGACAGUUUAUGAGAUUUGUGACAUAGACACUUCGGCUCAGUUUAUGUACGAGUGUAAGCCUGAAGUUACAUACACAGUGCCUUCAGAAAGUAAUCACAGUCCUUGACUUUUGUCACAUUUUGUUGUGUUUCAGCCUGAAUGUGAAAUGGAUUAAAUUUUUUUUUUUUAAAUUUGUCACCGAUCUAUAUAAAAUAGCCCGUAAUGACAAAGUGAAAACAUGUUUUUAGAAUUUUUUACAAAUUAAUUAAAAGUGAAAAGCUGAAAUGUCUUGCGUCAAUAAGUAUUCAACCCCCUGAGUCAAUACUUUGUAGAAGCGUCUUUGGUAGUGAUUACAGCUUCAAGUCUUCUUGGGUGUGUGUCUGUAUGAGCUUUGCACAUCUGGAUUUGGGGAUUUUUUCCCAAUUCUUCCUUGCAGAUUUGCUCAACCUGUCAAGUUGGAUGGGGAGUGUCUGUGAACAGCAAUCUUCAAGUCUUUCCACAGAUUCUCAAUGGCAUUCAAGUUUGAGCUUUGACUGGGCUACUCAAGGACUUUCACGUUCUUGUUCUGAAGCCAUUCCAGUGUUGCUUUUGGCUGUAUGCUUGGGGUCAUUGUCCUGUUGGAACGUAAAUCUUCACCACAGUCUGAGGUCUUUUGCACUUUGAAGCAGGUUAUCCUCAAGGAUUUUCCCGUAUUGGCUCCAUUCAUUGUUCCCUCUAUCCUUACAAGUCUCCCAGUCCCUGCCGCUGAAAAGUAUCCCCAUAGCAUGAUGCUGCCACCACCAUGCUUCACGGUAGGGAUGGUGUGAGAUGGGUGAUGAGCUGUGCUUGGUUUCCUUCAGAUGUAGCGGUUUGCAUUCAGGCCAAAGGGUUAAAUUUUUCUUCUCAUCGGACC